rnacentral:lncRNA from 1 species
AGACCGGGAGUCUCGUGUGGACGAUCUGCAGAGGUCUGACGUGCUGUGUGGCUGCAUCGCGAUGAUCAGACUCCCGACGGUGAUCAGAUUGCGGCGAUCUACUACCCGCACAAAGGUAUUGUGUUCUAAACACAUUACAGUAAAGUGUUUACUGUUCAAAUUCGAAUUUCAAAUUUAAAUGCAUGCAUGUUGUAUAUCAUAUUUAGAUCCUAGUGUA